UUCUCUCCUCCUAUGUCAUUUCUUCCUUUAAUGUGAUCGAACUAGGGCUGCAACUAACGAUUAUUUUAAUAAUAAAAUAAUCGGUCGAUUAAUUUUUUCGAUUAAACGAUGAAUCUGAUAAAACAGGAAACAUUUGUUAUUGCCGCAACUUCAUUCAAACACUGAACAUUAUUUCAAAUUCACAGUUCAGGCUGAAGUGUUAAAACACCAGGUUAUUGCUCCAACGUCCCGGAACUAUUAAAAGUAACAUUAAAUGAUAAAAUAAAAAAACAUAACUGGGAUAACACAAAAAAAGAUACAAUGUAUGAUAUACAUUUAUAUACAGUAUAUAAGGGAAGUCCAUGGUUAACCGAUAAGAACUUUAACAGGUAAAUAAUAACGGUUAGAAAUAAAUCAAAUCAUCUUAAUUUCUCUCAGAUGACAGGAGAUCAUUAAUUUUGAUAUUGAUACCAUUUGAGGCUACUUAACGAUCCAAGUCUUUAUUGAUACCACUAUUAAUACUUUUCUAUUAUUUUGUUAUUUUGAAAUAGAACUUGUAUUAUUGCUUUAAUUGCUGCUAAGAUGAUUGUAGCUCAAGAUAGGAUGUUAAACAGGUCAUAAUUCCAUCUUUACCAUCUAUUUUAUAUUGCUGGGAAAACAAGUUUUCGCCAAAAUCUUAAAUUUCUUUUUUUUGUGUUGCAUUUGAACACAUCAAUCAUAUUACUGAGCCAACCUGAACACAUCACAUUUGACACUGUUUGCUACUUUUCUUUAAGCUAACUAGCUCUAUAUCCUGCCGAUUUGAACAUGGAUUUAAAAAGUGGAUUACUAUUAUUUUUAACUGACGGGUUGUCCGGUUGUGUGAUUACUACCGCUGCUUUGAAUGACUGUUGAUGUACGCAGUGCCGACUCCGAGCCCGUCUGCACACCGUCUGUAGCAGCAGCAGCUGACUUGUUUUUGGUUGGACUAGACGGAUACUGAGUUGAAGGAGUUUUUUUAACCCAAAGACAGUGAAGGUACAACACUUUUAUAUAGGCCUACAGUCCAGUUUUAAGAUAUGACCAAAAUACAAGCUGUGGUCGCUCACACUAAAGCUCGCUGUGGGCAUGCAUGAACCAUGAACCCCACCUGUUGGCGGCUGGCUGUAAACAGUGCCUUGCCUACGAGAGACGUAUUAAUCGCGCGACUCAACAAAUCGAUGACUAAAACGCUUUUAGUAAUCGAUUUUUAUCGAUUUUAUCGAUUCGUUGUUGCAGCCCUAGAUCGAACAACAUUAUAUUAUUUUUACUAUUACAUUUAAUUAGGGGUGUAACGGUACACGUAUUUGUACCGAACCGUCACGGUACAGGCACUUCGGUGCGGUUACAGAGGUGUACCGCGGUACGUAAAUGUGGCGUACAUAGCGUUAAUAUGGCGAAUGUAAAGGCAUGUUUUGCGAUGCGGUAUUUAAAACUUGAAGUCGGAGUUCCACCCGGACCGUUUAGCCAAAGUAUACUACUCUGACUCUAGUCCGACUCCAUAACUACGGAGACCUCUCAGCAGCUCUCCGUUGGGAUGUCGGAUACGCAAUGCAAUUCGCCGCCCGAUCUAUCUUAUAUGUUGACUACAAUCCAUGUAAGCAGUGUAAAUAAACUUCCAAAGCUUAUCAAAUCUUAUUUGGUGUUUUAUUGGCCCUUAAGGUACAAAGUAAACAAUGUACAAAGUAAUUAAGGUGCAAAGUCAAACCGGAGUCGUGAUUCCGGAAAUGAAUUUGUUAGAGGACCAAUCACAGCCUUUGCCGUCUCUUUAUAAAUAUUGGAUGCUCUCCGGCUAUGGAGAGGGCUCUCCGUGUCUACGUACAGCACUUUAACAUGCACACCCUAUGGGCAACGAUCGUCGAAUAGUCGGAGUCACGUAGAAUAUCGUAUAAUGAAUAUGACUACUGCUUGAGCUGCUCCCCCCGCGAUCCGACCCCGGAUAAGCGGUUGACGAUGAGGAUGAGGAAUAUGACUAUCGUUAUUUAUUACACGGCUCUUCUCAAUGCUGUUGAACGCUCCGUUGACUUGCAUGAGCCUUCACAACUUCCGGUGGUGAAUAGCGUCCUCGGUUGCUAAGCGACGUCAACGUCUUUGGCAGACUAUUUCUCUGCUGAUCAACACUACGAAUGCUGGUAACAAAUAAAUUGUAAAAAGACACACCGUGUGAAGUUACUUUUUUGACGUGUAUAGGUCACCGUCAUGCAAGCUGUUCAGUAAAAUAAAUAAAUAAAUAGCGAUCCGUUUUCGGCACAUGUAGGUCUAUCUGCCAAAGCCCACGUUGAAAUAAUUUUGAUGUUGAAUGUUGAUGGCGCAGUUGUUGAAAUAAACAGAUUGAUUUAAAAAAAAUCAUAAAAGCCUCUCCCUGUGUCAUUGUGUGUGCGUGUAUCGGAAGUGCGUGCGUGGGGGGUUCUUGAUUGAAUAUUAUUCGAAUACUUCUCAGCGAAUAUCGAAUAGUAUUUUUGCCAGAAAUGCACAUCCCUAGCACACGCAUUUGUAAAGGCACCAUCCAGGUGUUACUAUCACUGUUACUGUGGAAAAAAAACGAACUGUGCAAACCCAGCUCACGACACUAUUUCAACAACCCCUGUCUGGGAAUUCAGAAAUGAAAAUGCCAUAACCAAGUUUAUUGGUGUUUUCAUUGCUGCUGAUCUACGGCCAUUCUCCGUUGUUGACAAACAAGCAUUUUUUUUUAAUUUUCCCCUUAACUAUGAACCCGCAACUAUGUUGCCCAUUGUUAGGAGAACAGCCAGGCCCAUUACACUCAAUUGUAGGGGAAAAGUAAAAAAGGACCAAUUGGUCUGAAUAAAAGUCUUGUCAGAGGCACAACUCGGGAAACAACACAACCAGGCAUGGAAUUACCUGUUUGCAGUCCACCUCGAUGUCUGCAAUGUAGUUCUCAAACACUGUGGGGACGUAGACCUCAGGGAACUGGUCCUUACUGAAGACGAUGAGCAGACAGGUCUUACCACACGCUCCGUCCCCCACAAU